rnacentral:rRNA from 1 species
UACAGAGACUGCAAGCGUUAUUCGGAUUCACUGGGCGUAAAGGGUGCGCAGGCGGCCAGGUGUGUUAGGCGUGAAAGCCCCGGGGCUUAACCCCGGAAUUGCACCUAAAACUACUUGGCUAGAGCAUUGGAGAGGGUAGCGGAAUUCACGGUGUACGCAGUGAAUGCGUAGAUAUCGAUGAGGAACACCAGAGGCGAGGCGGCUACCUGGACAAUUGCUGACGCUCAGGCAGCGAAAGCGUGGGAGCAAAAGGAUUGAGAAACCCU